rnacentral:lncRNA from 1 species
AGUGCGAUCUUCGGGCUGUCAGAGUUGGUCUGUUACUCGGUGGUGGCGGAGUCUACGGAAGCCGUUUUCGCUUCACUUUUCCUGGCUGUAGAGCGCUUUCCCCCUGGCGGGUGAGAGUGCAGAGACGAAGGUGCGAGAUGAGCACUAUGUUCGCGGACACUCUCCUCAUCGUUUUUAUCUCUGUGUGCACGGCUCUGCUCGCAGAGGGCAUAACCUGGGUCCUGGUUUACAGGACAGACAAGUACAAGAGACUGAAGGCAGAAGUGGAAAAACAGAGUAAAAAAUAGAGACAAGAAGAGAAACUGAAGAAUAACAACAGAGAUCUAUCAAUGGUUCGAAUGAAAUCCAUGUUUGCUAUUGGCUUUUGUUUUACUGCCCUAAUGGGAAUGUUCAAUUCCAUAUUUGAUGGUAGAGUGGUGGCAAAGCUUCCUUUUACCCCUCUUUCUUACAUCCAAGGACUGUCUCAUCGAAAUCUGCUGGGAGAUGACACCACAGACUGUUCCUUCAUUUUCCUGUAUAUUCUCUGUACUAUGUCGAUUCGACAGAACAUUCAGAAGAUUCUCGGCCUUGCCCCUUCACGA